AUAACGAUGCGGGGCUCUUUGAGUGUCGCAAUUGGAAUGAGUACUAUCCAAACCACACACCGAGGAACAAGUGGAGGGCAAGUCUGGUGCCAGCAGCCGCGGUAAUUCCAGCUCCACUAGCGUACAUUAAAGUUGUUGCAGUUAAAAAGCUCGUAGUUGGAAGUGUGGGGGACACAUCUGGGGGUGCUUUUUAUAGUGCUGCACAGAUGGAUGUCUCCCAUCAGGGUCCUCACGGACCCAGUCACUUUGAAAAAAUUAGAGUGUUCAAAGCAGGCUUACACGCCCGAAUAGAUAUCAUGGAAUGACAGAACAGGACCGCUUGUGGGCCAAUUUCUGUGGGUUUUACACCACCGGUAAUGAUUAAGAGGGACGGAGUCGGGGGCAUCAGUAUUCAAAAGUCAGAGGUGAAAUUCUUGGAUUUUUUGAAGACUAACUACUGCGAAAGCAUUUGCCAAGGACGUUUUCAUUAAUCAAGAACGAAAGUUAGGGGAUCGAAGAUGAUCAGAUACCGUCGUAGUCUUAACCGUAAACUAUGCCGACUGGGGAUGGGCUGGCACACAUUACAAACAUGGCAGCCCGCACCCACCGAGAAAUCAAAGUCUUUGGGUUCCGGGGGGAGUAUGGUCGCAAGGCUGAAACUUAAAGGAAUUGACGGAAGGGCACCACCAGGAGUGGAGCCUGCGGCUUAAUUUGACUCAACACGGGGAAACUCACCAGGUCCAGACGCAAUAAGGAUUGACGGAUUGAGAGCUUCUUCUUGAUUUUGCGGGUGGUGGUGCAUGGCCGUUCUUAGUUGGUGGAGUGAUUUGUCUGCUUAAUUGCGAUAACGAACGAGACCUUGAGCGGGUGUUGGGGAGCUCUAUAUUUCUUAUGUAGAGGCGUUCUGAUACCUGCGACAACUGGCGCAAGCCAGCGGAAGCGAGGCAAUAACAGGUCUGUGAUGCCCUUAGACGUUCUGGGCCGCACGCGCGCUACACUGACGCAGCCAGCGAGUAUAUUUUGAUGUCCUUGGCCGAGAGGUCUGGGGAAACUUGUGAAACUGCGUCGUGCUGGGGAUAGAGCAUUGUAAUUGUUGCUCUUGAACGAGGAAUUCCUAGUAAGCGCAAGUCAUCAGCUUGCGUUGAUUACGUCCCUGCCCUUUGUACACACCGCCCGUCGCUACUACCGAUUGAAUGGCUUAGUGAGGCUCCGGGAGAUGCGGGUGCC
rnacentral:rRNA from 1 species